UACGUAGGGCGCAAGCGUUGUCCGGAAUUAUUGGGCGUAAAGAGCUCGUAGGCGGUCUGUCGCGUCGGAUGUGAAAGCCCGGGGCUUAACCCCGGGUCUGCAUUCGAUACGGGCAGACUAGAGUGUGGUAGGGGAGAUCGGAAUUCCUGGUGUAGCGGUGAAAUGCGCAGAUAUCAGGAGGAACACCGGUGGCGAAGGCGGGUCUCUGGGCAGUAACUGACGCUGAGGAGCGAAAGCGUGGGGAGCGAACAGG
rnacentral:rRNA from 1 species